GAAGAUGUGGAGAAAUGAGAUCCCUCACACAUUGCUAGUGGGAAUGUAAAAGGGUACAGCUGCCGUGGAAGUUUGGCAGUUCCACCUUAAGCUAAACACAGAAGCACGACAGGACCCUGAAAUUCCACUCUUAGUAUAGACUAAAACAAAUUAAAUACACUUGUUCAGACAAAAGCUUGCACAAGAAUGUUCACAGCAGCACUAUUCACAACCCCAACAGUGGAAACAACCCCUAUGUCCACCACUGAUGAAUGGAUAAACAAAAUGUGGGUAUAUCCAUACAAUGGAAUAUUAUUCAGUCUCAUAAAAAGAAACAAAAUACCGACACAUGCUACAACAUGGAUGAACCUUGAAAACAUUAUGCUGAGUAGAAGAAGCCAGACACAAAAGGCCAUAUAGUGUACAAUCCCAUUUAUAGGAAAUGUUCAGAAUGGGGAGAUUUUUAGAGACAGAAUGCAGAUUGCUGGCUGCCAGGGGCUGGGAGUCAGGGACUGAGGAGCGGUGUGGAACUGGGGGGUGGUGACAGUCAAGAAGCAUUUUCUUUUUUUUUCUUUUCUUUUCUUUUUUUUUUUGAGAUAGGGUCUCACUCUGUCACCCAGGUUGGAGUACAGUGGCAUGAUCUCCGCUCACCACAGCCUCAACCUCCUGAGCUCAAGCAGUCCUCCCACCUCAGCCUCCCAAGUAGCUAACUACAUGGGCACACCAUCACAAGAACUCAUUUUUGUAUUUUUUUUUUGUAGAUACAGGGUCUCCCCAUGUUGCCCAGGCUGGUUUUGAACUCCUGGGCUCAAGCAAUCCACCCGCCUCAGCCUCCCAAAGUGUUGGGAUUACAGGCAUGAGCCACCGUGCCCAGCCUGCACAGCAUUUUCAAUGUACUAAAUGCUGCUAAAUUAUACACUUUUUAAGGCCAGGUGCAGGGCUCACGCCUGUAAUCCCAGAACUUUGGGAGGCCAAGGUGGGCGGAUUGCCUGAGCUCAGGAGUUUGUGACCAGCCUGGGCAACAUGGUGAGACCCCAUCUCUACUAAAAACACAAAAAAUUAGGCAGGCGUGUUGGCACACACCUGUAAUCCCAGCUACUUGCGAGGCUGAGACAGGAGAAUCACUUGAACACAGGAGGCAGAGGUUGCAGUGAGCCGAGAUUGCACCACUACACUGCAGCCUGGGUGACAGAGUGAGACUGUCUCCUAAAUAAAUAAAACAUUUUAAAAUGGUUAAAAUGGCAACUUUUAUGUGUACUCUGCCAGAAUUCUCUUAAGUUAAAAAAAAAUGUGAGUUUUGAACCUCCCCUCCAAGGGCCUGGGAGCUGCCAACACAGAGUCAGCCACAGUGUUUCCAGAUGGACAGAACGAAUCAAAAAGAUGUCUGCCAGACACUAUGCCAACAGGAAGAUGGGACUCAAGUUGUUUUUAAAAUUUUUUGUGCCUUGGCCUGCUGGAGAAAUAAAAGCUCUGAACUUGAGUUCACAUAGGCCUGAAUGUAAAUGCUGGUUCCAACACUGGCUGUGUGACCUUGGGCAAAUCACUGAGUCUUUCUGGGCCUCAGUUUUCUCAUCUGUAAAAUGGAGAUAAGCAGCAGCUCUUUGUUAACUCAUGAAAAAGCCCUAAGUGUAGUGCAGGAACACAGUAAGGACCAGCAAGGGUUGGUUUCUUUCCUCCCUCUCCUUUCCCCACACAUGUCCUUGACAUUUAUCCCAGCCAGAUUUCACCUGUACAGACACCCUCCCGGGAGGUUGUACACAGAGCAACACUUGUCGAGGUUCUCUGAUGGACCCUGCCCAUGGGAUGUUUACACUUUCAAAGAGAAAACGAGUUAAUCCACAGGAAGCCUAAGUGAUAGAGGGGACUGAAGAAUUUCUAAACUAAUCCAGGAAAUAUUCUGGACUAAUCCAGGAAAUAUUCAGGCCCUUUCCCUCCAAUCAUGCCACCAGGCCAGCAACCUGCUUCAACACUAUCUCCCUUCACACGCACACGCUCUCCAAACUCCUUACCCAACAAUUCCCAGGAGCUGGUUUCUGACCUUGUUCUCCCCUGUCCAUAGCUCAAAAUGUCAGCAUAAGAAUGCUGUUCGGCCUUUCUAGGGAAGAACUAUUCUUGUUUUCAAUUUUUGGUAUUAAAAUAUUCAUUUUUUAGGAUACAAUAGUAGGAAACUAAUUUUUUACCUAUCCUGUGUCCUUACUUGACAAAAUAAGAUGCCACGAACCUUUAUGCCAGUUCCCAAAAUGACUUUUUGAAUUUUUAUUGAUAAAUCCUCAAAUCUGAGAGCACAACACUGUGCUCCCUAACCCUAAUCUCCCUCUCCCAGCAGGGAGUGAAUCCUGCUUCAUUUGCUCAGUGAGCACAAGGAAGGCACGGGCCCUGGGGUCCAUCCCUGCCAGGCCACUCCUUCCAGCCCUCUCUGUCAUUCCCACAGCAGCAGACAGGCAACAGCAUUCCCUCUUCCCAGCAUCGCUGAUGCCAGGCUGGGUACCACAACCUCUGCAUACCAACGGACUGGUCCCUACAUCCUGAUGCCAGAGGAGGUGGGUAACAUUGAGCCAUCACACUCACUCAAUUACCAGACCCCUGGGUCAGCUUAAGAAGGGAUGGAGUCCGGGCGCAGUGGCUCACACCUAUAACCCCAGCACUUUGGGAGGCCAAGGAGGGUGGGUCACCUGAGAUCAGGAGUUCAAGACCAGCCUGACCAACACGGAGAAACCCCGUCUCUACUAAAAUUACAAAAAAUUAGCCAGCCAUGGUGGCGCAUGCCUGUAAUCCCAGCUACUCGGGAGGCCGAGGCAGGAGAAUCACUUGAACCCAGGAGGCAGAGGUUGUGGUGAGCCGAGAUCAUGCCACUGCACUCCAACCUGGGCAACAAGAGCAAAACUCCAUCUCAAAAAAAAAAAAAAAAAAAAAAAGAAGGGAUGGUCUGUGUUCAGAGAGCAAUUUUCCUCUGAACCAAAUGAAGCUUCAUCAGACUGUGUGGACCCCACUCCGCCUGAACAAGUCACAGCCCAAUCUCCCCACUGAGAGGGGCCUAUGAGCAUCGCUGUGUCCUCUUGACCUUCUGUAAGUCUCUCGGGUUUGACCAGACCAUUCUAGGUAUUGUCCUACCACGCAGGGUAAUGCAAAGGGCGUGGCCAAGGUCCCUAAUGCUACAGCCAGUAAUAUACCCCAAACUCUCCACUCAAAAUCCUGUCCUGGGCUGGAAAGCAAAGUAAGUGGCAGAAACAUGAGGCCACCCCUGGACAUUCCCACUCUGGGAGAUAUCAGGCUCAGCUCCACAUGUAACCUGCAGCAUGUGUUAGAAACCAUCAGGAGAUCACCAAGGGCUGCUAAGGGAAAAGGUUGGGGAAGACAAUGACAGGCAGGCAGGCAGCAAAUACAGGCUAAGGGUUCACUAUGGACCAGGCAUACUGCUCAGGGUCAAGAAAGCAAAAAUGAGGAGGACAUGAUGCCCUGCCCUGAAGGGGCUCACAGAUGAGCAGGUGUGGCUUGGAGGAAGAGGAGAGGCCAGGACUAACACGUAUCAAGUCUGUUCAUCUUCUGAGUUCCCAGAGAAAAGAGCCCCACACUCACGGAGCUGACAAGCAAGCCAGAAAGUAGGGAAAUUUCAGGUUGGGAUAAGCCCUAGAAGAAAAUAAACAGAAAGUAAGAUGAAGCAAAACCAGGCGGGGGAUUUAGAGAAGGUGGUUGCAGAGGGCCUCUCUGAGGAGGUGACAUUGGAAAUGAGGUGGAGAAUGGAAUGAGAAGGAAACAUUCCAGGUAGAGAAGGGCAGGUGCAAAGGCAGGGACGCAAGAAAGGACUGAGAAUGUUCAAGGAGGGGCAGGGACGUUGAUGUGGGUGAGAUGUGGAGAGCAACAGGAGACAGGAGGCAGGCAAGGCUUUGCAGGCCUGGUGAGGAAUCCGGGUUAAAUAUGAGCAUUAUCCCCAUUUAGUAGAUGAGAAAACCAAAGCUCAGAGGUUAAGUAACUUGCCCAGGGUCGCAUAGCUGGUGAGUAGCCAAGCUGAGAUUCCAUCAUAUAGUCUGGUAACAAAGUCCAUGUUUUCUUUCCUCUACUCACUGAACAGGAACUGGCUGGCUGUGACAAAAUGUGAUAACUGUUAAGUGAUUAAUGACAAGUGGUUUAUGACAGAAGCCUGGGGUGGGGGGACACAGUUUGCCGGGGAAGUCUUCAUGGAGGAACUAACUGGGUCCCUAAGAAUGAGGAGGAUUUUGCCAGGUGGAAAAGUGGGGAGGACGAGCGCUCAAAACAAGGAGAAUAACUUGAGCAAGGCCAGGGAUGUGGAACAUGAGGCCUGGUGGGAGCUGAGAGGCAAUGGAGUUGCUGAGAGUAGAACUGGCGGGAGAUGGGCGUGGAAGGCAGGGUGGGCCAGACCAGAAGGGACCCUGAAUGCCUACCAAGGAUGUCUACAUUGAAUUUCUGGGCAACGAGGAGCCAAGGCAGGUUCUUCAACAGGCUGAGCUGUACUGUGCUUUAGAAAGAUGACUGUGAUGCAGGGGCCUGGAGAGGCUGGUGUGUGGGGAGGGGCAGCUAAAAUAAAUGGCCAGAGGCUGUAGAGAGAGGUGGGGCAGGACAGGGCCCGUCAAGCCCCAGAGGUAACCAAGACUGAGAAGGAGUUUCACUCUUGUUGCCCAGGCUGGAGUGCAAUGGUGCGAUCUUGGCUCACUGCAACCUCUGCCUCCCGAGUUCAAGCGAUUUUCCUGCCUCAGCCUCCUGAGUAGCUGAAACUACAGGCGUGUGCCACCACACCCAGCUAAUUUUUGUAUUUUUAGUAGAGACAGGUUUUCACCAUGUUGGCCAGCUGGUCUCGAACUCCUGAUCUCAGGUGACCCACCCUCCUUAGCCUCCCAAAGUGCUAGGAUUACAGGAAUGAGCUACCACACCCGGCCAAGAAAGUAUUUUUACAGACCCCAAGAAUGGGGUGUCCAGCUGGGCGUGGUGGCUCAUGCCUGUAAAAUCCCAGUACUUUGGGAGGCCAAGGUUGGCGGAUCACCUGAGGUCAGGAGUUCGAGACCAGCCUGGCCAGCAUGGUGAAACCCUGUCUCUACUAAAAAUACAAAAAAUUAGCUGGGCGUGGUGGGAGGAGCCCGUAAUCCCAGCUACUUGGGAGGCUGAGGCAGGAGAAUCGCUUGAACCCGAGAUGGCGCCAUUGCACUCCAAUCUGGGUGACGAGAGCGAAACUCCGUCUCAAAAAACAAAAAAAGAAUGCAGUGUCCCCAGCCCCAGGCCCCGCCCUGCUUCACCCCACCUCCCUCCACAGUUUGGCCUGGGUCCAUGGCUGGAGUCCCUUCCUAGCCUAUAGCCCCAGGCCCUGCUGCAGUGACCCCCAUCAGCCCAGGGCAUUCUGUUCAUGCCCCAUGACUCUCAUGAAGGAUGAGAGCAGGGUGCUGGCUUUACAGGAGUUGGGUGAACCUCAGAUACUGAGAGUGGACAACACUUACACAGCCCUGACCCGGAAAGGGGACCUGUUUUAAGUGCCUUAUUUUGACUCACUUCAACCCUACAAGGUACGUACUAUUACAUUCCAAGGAGGGGAAACUGAUGCACAGGGGACUUGCCCAAGGGAUGUGAACCCUGGCAGUCUGGUGCCAGGGUCUGUCCUCCGUACUCCACCUCAAGGUAGUCAUUGCUCUCUCUAGACUCUGAGUGUCUCUACCUGCUCUCCUCUCUCCUCUUUGCUUUCACAAUGAUCCUGCCAGAUGCUCUCUUUCCUGCCAGAAGGGAGGGCUACAUGUGAAAAUCUGGCAUCAGAGUCUCAGCCACUCCCUUCUCAGGAACCACCUGCCUGCCUGCCAUAGCAGGCGGUGAAGAGCCAGCCCUGACAUCAGACAGCUCCUGGAGGCAGGCAGGCCUGUCUGAACCCUCCUCCCUGCUGCAACAGAAAUGGCUACCAGCCCCACUGGCCAGGCCUACAGCAGGCUGUGCCUGGCCCCCACUUGACAGGCAGCACUCACCUCUCACCUCUGCUCUGGGGGCCCAGCUGAGGCAGCACCUGCCCAGGAUGUCAUGGUGCCAUAGUUGCACCAGCUCCAGGACCAGGGCAGCUGAACGCCCCUUUGCCCACUAGAUGGCACAAUGUGCACAGAAAUGUGGGUUGACCGCUUGGCCACCCUUUCCACCUGCAGAGGAACUGGAUUUCACCACACUCUGCAUUUAUCUCAUUUUUAUUCUCAUUCCUCAUCCUAACCCAUAGCCAACCAUUUGUAUGUGUCCUUGCAAAACAAGUGCAUGUAUUUUUUAGUUUCACAAUUAGUAAUAUAUAUAUAUAUAUAUAUAUAUAUAUAUAUAAAAAACACACACACACAUUAUAGAUAUAUUUCUUAAUUGUUUUCGCUCAGCACUGUAUUUUUAAACCUCAUUCAUGUUGCUGUGAGCACAUUUAGUUUCUGGUGGGCACCUUCCACAUUUAUUUACCCACUCUGAGGGCGACAGGCACCCAAGUUCCCUCCAACACCCCAGCAACCCUGCCAUGACCGUCCUUGACAGGAACCGUUACGGCUCGGCCUGAAAACCUAAGAAGCGGAAUUGCCAGGUUACAGGGCAUGCAGCGACUUCAUUUGGCACAGUACUGCCAGCCAGCUCUCAACCCACCCAGUUCUUGGAGGGUUCCUGGGGAAAAGACGCCCAGCCUCCUAGGACUAGUCAGCCUAGCACCCCUUCCUGUGGGGAGGGGCCCCAAUCCUUUCUGCUUGGGCCCAAGGGAGAUGGAGAGCCAGUGGCCUCUGUCAAGAGCGUCUUGCAAAGGUAAGACCUUAAGGUCCUACAUCUCCCCUGGGCAUUUUUUUUUUUAAGUAAAGGGCAAUGGCUGGCCUGUUAAAUCCCCCACAUCCCUCUCUUCAGGAGCCUUUCUGAUUACAAAGCCCAUUCUUUUUCUCCCUUCUCCUCCCACAGAACUAUCCCAGUUUCCUGCAUUUUCCCAUUUCUCUUCCUCUGCCCAUCCCUUCCAUGUGAACACCCUACACUUACUAGCUAUGUGUCUGUGGACAAGUUACUUGGACUCUCCCUCUUUGUCUAUAAUAUGGAAAUAAGUAAUAUCAUUACUAAUAAUAGGCACACAGGCAUAAUCCCUCCCUGGCCUCUGCACACAGCCCUCUCUCUAACUCAAUGCUGCCCCACUUCCCACAUAUAUUUAAGUAGCUCAAGCCCCUCCUCCCCCAGGAAGUCAUCCCUGAUUGAACCAGAUACAGUCCCAAUGUCCUUAAUCCAACUGUCACCUACUAAGAGCUCAAGUGAUUAUUUUUGGCUGAAAUUUGAAAUAACAAUAAUGGCUAUGAUUGAUACGCUGAGCACCUACUAUGUGCCAAGAAUUCUACGGCCUACUCCAUAUCCACACAAGAGCCCUGGAAGGCAGACAUUGUCAUCCUGACUUCUCAAAUGAGGAGGCUGAGACUCAGAGAGUAAGGUGACUUGCCUGAAGUCACUGGCAGGUAAUUGUCAAGGUCAGGACUGGAAUACAGGCUUGUCUGAUAUAAAAGCUCUACCCCACACCACCUCCUUCAGAAUCCCUUCCUCUUGCCCUCAUUCCCCCAUACACAUGGUAUGUGCAUUGCAUUUUAAAAUUAUUUGUGAUUUUAAGUACACAAAUAAUAGAGGGAUAUAGUCUCUUUAUUAAAAAAUUAAAGCACUACAGAGCUGUGUCACCUUUGACCAGGAACCUUCUACCUCCCUCCUCCCCAAAGGAACUCCCACUAUUAGCACUGUCUUGGGUAUCAUUCUUGUGCUUUUUUGCCUUUUUUUUUUUUUUUUUUUGAGACAGGGUAUCUUGCUCUGGUGCCCAGGCUGGAGUGCAGGGAAUGUAGUGGUGUGAUAUCACAGCUCACCACAACCUCUGCCUCCCAGGUUCAGGUGAUCUUCAUGCUCAGCCUCCCAAGUGGCUGGGAUUACAGGUGCACACCACCAGGCCCAGCUAAUUUUUGUAUUUUUAGUAGAGACGGGGUUUCACCAUGUUGGCCAGGCUGGUCUCGAACUCCUGGUCUCGAGUGACCACCCACCUCAGCCUCCCAAAGUGCUGGGAUUAUAGGUGUGAGCCACUGCACCCAGUCCCAUAAAUUUUUCUGUAUUUGUAGGAAAUAACGUUGUUAAGUGAUUUUACAUAAAUAAUGUGUGUGGGGCCGGGCACAGUGGUUCAUGCUUGUAAUCCCGGCACUUUGGGAGAACGAGGCGGGUGAAUCACUUGAGACCAGGAGUUCGGGACCGGCCUGGUCAACAUGGCGAAAACGCGUCUCUACUAAAAACACAAAAAUUAUCUGGGCAUGGUGGCCUGUGAUCCCAGCUAUGCAGGAGGUUGAGACACCUUGAACCCGGCGUAUGGAGGCAGAAGUGAGCUGAGAUUGCACCACUGCACUCCAGCCUGGGUGACAGAGUGAGACCCUGUCUUAAAAAAAAAAAAAAACAAAAAACCCACAAUAAUGUGUGAGGUAUAUCACUCUUCAACAGGCUUUUUUCCAUUCAACAAUAUGUCUUGGAGAGCUACAUCUAUCUAUACCUACACCAUCCUUUCUUGGAACAGUUGUGUGCUACUCCAUGGCACACAUGGACUUUGCUUAUUUACCCAGGCCCCUACUGAUGGCUAUUCAGAUUGUUUCCAAUUCUAUUAAAAACAGGCUGAAACGAGUAUGUACAGACCUCUCUGGGCACUGUGGUAUGUGCUCUGUGCAGGGCAUGGACAGUCAUCUCUUCUCAUCUGUCACAUUGUUAGCAAACACCUCUCACAGGGGUUCUCAACUUGGGAACCACUGGAGGUUUCAGGGGGACCUCAAAUCCCUGAAAUUGUACCCAGAGUAACCUAUGUAUGCCUCUGCAUAUAUGCACUAUCUGGGGAAAGGGUCCACAACCCUUAGCAAGUUUCAGGUUUUCGAAGGGCCCAUAAAAGCUAAGAAGUACCGACCUGUAUUAACUUUCAUACCUUUAUGUUCUGGCUCAUAUACGAUGUUAUGUGCUCAAAAGGACAAGCUGGGCAACAUAAAGCCUCUUCUCCCCCUUGUUCUGCCAACAAGGAUUCCAUCUAGUGCUGAAAGAAAGGACCUCUGGAGUCAGACCCAGGCCUAAAUCCUGGCUCCAUCCAUUACUAUGCAAUUUGGGGCAAUUAAUUAACAACCAAGCUUCAGUGUCCACAACACAAACUGAGGUGAGUAAAACCUGCUUCAUAGAGUUGUUGUAAGGAGUAAACAAAAUCCCUUGCGCCAAGCAUCUAGCAGGCACAGUAGGUACUGCUAUGCACCUGUGCCCUUGGUUUCCUUAAGUUCUGGCCAAGAGCUUUAGGCAACUGGGACCUUCUCAAGGGCAGGGACAAAGGCUCACCCAGAGUCUGCAACCCCCUUGAGCUCUGAGCCUAAAUCUGUCAUGGACAAAUUAGGAGUGAAUACACUGAGAAGAGUCCUUGUCCAGGCUCUCCAGGUCAUACCACAGCAGUGCCACUAGGAGGCUGCAGGACAGGCCCUGGGACUGGAGAGACUCUGCAGGAGCAGCUCUGACUAAAAUAGUGUGUGCAUGCAAGUGUGCAUGUGUUGUGUGCUCAUAUAUGUUAAGUGUGUGAAUGAGUAUGCAUGUCUGAGUAUGAGCCUGUGUCUGAGUGUGUAUGUGUUGGCAUGUGUAUGUGUGUACACGUGGGUUGGGAGAGGCAGAAACCAAAGGGAAGACAGGGUUUCCAGAGAGGCAGCAGCAGCCCUGGCUUCUCCCCUUGAGUGUCCAGGCUGCUGGAACAAAUAUUCCAUUACCUACUGUGUGUUAAGCACUGCUCCUGUCCUUGAACUCACAGGAAGACAAAAACAAGACAGUUAGGUUCAAGCAAUAUUUCCAGGUGCCAGCAUUGUUCUAGGCACUGGGGAUACAAAAAGACACAUUCCUUGCCCUCCACCAAGGUCAGACACGACACACCCCUGGAGUCGGUGGCACUUCAGUGAGUAGAGCCCUGUACAGGGCACCCAGGAAGAGCUGUGCUCAAGACCAGAAAUCGUGGAGAAAGGCAUAGUUGACCCUGUCCUGGGCAGCAAACCCUUUGAGAGGGGCCACAUCCCCUACCCUGCCCUGCAGACUCAGACCCAAAAUAUCUCCAGCCACCUUCUCUCCUCCCUCACUUGGCCACCAAGCAAUGCUGGACAGAACUCUUCUCUGUCGGGGGAGAUCACGGGGCGUAGCGCCCUCAGUACACUGAUAACCCUUUCUCCAUCCUCACCUUCCCUCUGGCAGCUGGCCCCACCUUUCCCCUCCCACCCUUCCCCUCACUCCCAGUAGACAACCCCCCUUUCCCAACUAACAUACAAGCUUACCUCUCUGAGCACCCAGUCCCCCCACCACGCUCAGGGAAUGAGGUGCCCUUUCACUUGCUCAGAUUCUCCUGCUUCCUGCUCUGCUGGGGUCUCCUUCUAUCAGUCACCACUGACCCCCACCCCGACUUCCACUCACAAACAACCACCAACUAUGGUGCAGUGGCACUGCAGCGCGGUUAGGCAGCCCAGCGUCACCGUUUCCCAGGCCUGGGACCUUAGACAAGUUACCCCACCUCUCUGAGCUUUGGUUCCUGUGCCUGUAGCACAGGGCGAAACCCAGUGAUGCUGACAGAACCUACCUCAUGAGGCCGCUGGGAAGAUAAGAUUAUACUGGGCACAUAAAAUGCUUAGGACUGGGCUAGGAAGUGUUUAGUGAAUGUGAUCACUGCUGCUGUAAGCCCCUGACAGCACCCACAGUAUCUGAAGGGCACAAAGCCUCUAGUAGAUGGUCAGAAAUAGAGUCCAGGGAUGGCAUCAAAUAGUUGUUUACUUUCCCCAUCAAAUCAACCUUCGUCCAAGUCAGAUAAGCCCCAGGGGUCCCCCCAGGGGUCUCCAUGCAGAGCCUAGGCUCUCCAUCAGGCAGCCUGAUCCCAAUUCCCUGGGUCUGGGCGUCACCGGACAGCCUUCAGGGUAAAAUGCAGAUCAUACUAGUGGGCCUUCUCUUGAUGAUAUUGAUCUCUUAGUAACUUACUGUGCCAACAUAUUCUUACCAAAGACCCCCUCGAAACAAGGGGAGAACCACCUGUCUACAAGAAGAGUUGCUCAGGUGUCUCCCAUCCUAAAAUCCUUAUGUCGACCUCCAGUUACAGCCCAUCUCUCUCCUUCCCUUCUCAGCCAAGCUUCUUGCAGAAGUCACCUGCACUUCCCCCUUCUCACCCCACCACAGGCUGCCUGACCCCACUGCUUCACCAGUGAUGGCCUGUAGCCACUCCACCUGUCCCUCCACAGGCCUCACUUCAUCUGUUGAGGUUGACCACUUCCUCUUGGAACAUCACCUCCCUGGCUUCCAGGACUCCACUUCCCCAGUCCUCCUCCCAUCUCCUUGACUGUCUUCUUGACUCCCCACCCAGCUUCUUCCUGCCCACCUGCCUCCUAAACAUCGGCUUCUCCAGCGCUCCACCCUGGCUUACUGCGCCUCUCUCCCCAGCCUCUCGUUGGGUGACCUCAUGAUUAGAAGCACCGUGCAUUUCUGAAGCCUCUCAAGUCUCUCUCCCUCUAUUCUCACCCCCGACCUUAUGUUUGGUGUACCGUACUGUCAACAAAACACUUGCAACUAAACAAGCAGAAAAGAAUUCCCUGCCUUCUCCUCUCUCCCCUCCUAAGAUCCUGAACUCCAUAAAGAGCCCCAUCCAUUCCACCAAGUCAGAGCCCUAGAAGGUACCCUCACCUCCAUCCACCUCCAAACUUUCACCAGAUCCUGCCUAUUCCACCUCAGGGGAAGUUUAUCAAUUGAGUAGCCCAACAGGUUUAAGACUGCAGGUGCAGGGAGGCAUGGAUGCGCUUUAUUUCUUGGACAUGGCUCAGAGGAGGGGCAGCUCCAGAGCACAAGGGCAGGGCGAGAGGCAGCACAGGCCAGCAGGAGAGAAAGCCCUGUAGCCCAGAUCACACACAGUCUCACCAGACCCCCAGCUGUGCAUUGGCUGCUGCAGGCAUCUCCCCUCCCUGCCUCAGCCCAGG
rnacentral:lncRNA from 1 species